ACGACGACGCUAGCAUUCAUUCGCAAACAUCAACUUCAGCCAGUAACAAACGCUCACAAACUUCAACGUCGUCACGUAA
rnacentral:ribozyme from 1 species